UUCUUUGCUGACGAGUGGCGGACGGGUGAGUAAUGUCUGGGAAACUGCCUGAUGGAGGGGGAUAACUACUGGAAACGGUAGCUAAUACCGCAUAACGUCGCAAGACCAAAGAGGGGGACCUUCGGGCCUCUUGCCAUCGGAUGUGCCCAGAUGGGAUUAGCUAGUAGGUGGGGUAACGGCUCACCUAGGCGACGAUCCCUAGCUGGUCUGAGAGGAUGACCAGCCACACUGGAACUGAGACACGGUCCAGACUCCUACGGGAGGCAGCAGUGGGGAAUAUUGCACAAUGGGCGCAAGCCUGAUGCAGCCAUGCCGCGUGUAUGAAGAAGGCCUUCGGGUUGUAAAGUACUUUCAGCGGGGAGGAAGGGAGUAAAGUUAAUACCUUUGCUCAUUGACGUUACCCGCAGAAGAAGCACCGGCUAACUCCGUGCCAGCAGCCGCGGUAAUACGGAGGGUGCAAGCGUAAUCGGAAUUACUGGGCGUAAAGCGCACGCAGGCGGAUUGUUAAGUCAGAUGUGAAAUCCCCCCGG
rnacentral:rRNA from 1 species